rnacentral:rRNA from 1 species
AUCGGAAAAAGAGGAGUGGCGAACGGGUGAGUAACACGUGGGUAACCUGCCCAUCAGAAGGGGAUAACACUUGGAAACAGGUGCUAAUACCGUAUAACAAUCGAAACCGCAUGGUUUCGAUUUGAAAGGCGCUUUCGGGUGUCGCUGAUGGAUGGACCCGCGGUGCAUUAGCUAGUUGGUGAGGUAACGGCUCACCAAGGCGACGAUGCAUAGCCGACCUGAGAGGGUGAUCGGCCACAUUGGGACUGAGACACGGCCCAAACUCCUACGGGAGGCAGCAGUAGGGAAUCUUCGGCAAUGGACGAAAGUCUGACCGAGCAACGCCGCGUGAGUGAAGAAGGUUUUCGGAUCGUAAAACUCUGUUGUUAGAGAAGAACAAGGAUGAGAGUAACUGUUCAUCCCUUGACGGUAUCUAACCAGAAAGCCACGGCUAACUACGUGCCAGCAGCCGCGGUAAUACGUAGGUGGCAAGCGUUGUCCGGAUUUAUUGGGCGUAAAGCGAGCGCAGGCGGUUUCUUA